GACGAACGCUGGCGGCGUGCUUAACACAUGCAAGUCGAACGGGAUUUCUGUGGAAAUUCUCUCGGGCAUGGAGAUGAAAUGAAAGUGGCGAACGGGAGAGUAACACGUGAGCAAUCUACCUUACACAGGGGGAUAGCCGUAGGAAACUACGACUAAUACCGCAUGAGACAACAGAAUCGCAUGAUAUAGGGGUCAAAGAUUUAUGGGUGUAAGAGGGGCUCGCGACUGGUUAGCUAGAUGGCAGGGUAAGGGCCUAUCAAGGCGAGGUUCAGUAGCCGGGAUGAGAGAAUGAGCGCCCACUUUUGAACUGAGACACGGUCCGGACUCCUGCGGGAGGCAGCAGUGGGUAAUAUUGCAAUACGGGGGGAACCCAGAUGCAGCGACGCUGCGUGAGCCAAGAUGGUUUUCGAAUAGUAAAGCUCGGUCCUAUGAGAAGAUAAUGACGGUAUCAAAAGAGGAAGCCCCGGCUAACUUCGUG
rnacentral:rRNA from 1 species